rnacentral:lncRNA from 1 species
ACACGUACUCCAAUGUUUAUUGCAGCACUAUUUACAAUAGCCAAGACAUGGAAACAACCUAAAUAUCCAUCAACAGAGGAGUGGAUCAAGAAGAUGUACAUAUACACAAUGGAAUAUGACUCAGCCAUUAAAAGGAACGAAAUACUGGCAUUUUUAGCAACAUGGACGGACCUAGAAACUAUCUUGCUAAGUGAAGUCAGCCAUACAGUGAGACACCAACAUCAAAUGCUUUCAUUGACAUGCGGAAUCUGAAAAAAGGAUAGACUGAAAUUUUUUGCAGAACAGAUGCUGACUCACAGGCUUUGAAAAACUUAUGGUCUCCGGAGGAGACAGUUUAGGGGGUGGGGGGAUGUGCUUGGGCUGUGGGAUAGAAAUCCUGUGAAAUCAGAUUGUUAUGAUCAUUAUACAACUACAGAUGUGAUAAAUUCAUUUGAGUAAUAAAAAAAAAAAAAGGGAAGGUUUCAGAGAUGGUUUUUUUUUCUUUUCAUCUUUUUUGUCUUUUUAGGACCACACCUGCAACAUGUGGAGGUUCCCAGGCUAGGGGUCGAAUCAGAGCUACAGCUGCUGGCCAUAGCCACAGCCACAGCAAUGCCCAAUCUGAGCCAUGUCCGCCACUUACACCACAGCUCACAGCGUUGCCAGAUCCUCAACCCGCUGAGUGAGGCCAGGAAUCAAACCUGCAACCUCAUGGAUUGCCAGUCGGAUUUGUUUCUGCUGCGCCAUGACGGGAACUCCCAGAUAUGCUUUGAAAGGUAGUAUUGACAGCAUUUGUGACAAAACGGACAAAUGCAUGUAUUUAGCUGCUGCCAACAUCAAUGUGCGGCUCCUUUCCGCCAAGGCCCAGUAUUUUCUCUUUCCAGAUGACCAGCGAGGUGGAAAUACCAGACUCUCCACCAGGCCCGGAGGCUGGGCCAGGCUCCCAUCACCCGUUACCCCCUCCACCCACCACCCUUCCCGUUUUUGCUGGAGGGCGUUUAAGAGGCAGCAAAUCAAUGCCAAAGAGCCAGGAUCUCACACUUUCUGCACGACUAAACGUCAAGGAAAUAAAAAGAAUCCUUCUAGCGUACAAGGGAUUUAAGAGCUAUCCCAGCCAAAUGCAAUGUAUGAACAUCGUCUCUUGAUUUGGCCCAAGUUCUCAUUAAUACAUUUCGGAAACAACGGGCGUGGGGGUCGACUUGGGAGGAUGUUACUGAAUCAUUAACCUCUUGUGGGUAUGAAAGUGGUAAUUAAACGAAAAUGUGAUUGUUGGAGAAGAGGUCUUAUCACAGAGAUGCAUUCUGCAGAAUUUAUGAAUGAAAUGAUAGGACAAUAAGACGUGCAAUAGAAGAAUCCAGCAGGGGUAUGUGGGGGAGUGGGGGGGGUGGCGGGGGGGCAGAGGAGGGGGUAGAGCUGAAAUAAGAUGAUUUAGAGGAAGUUGCAUCUUUCUCAAAAGAUACGCUUCACAUGAUUCCAGUAAAAAAAAAAGGGGGGGGUGUUGUCUGAAACUAGACCAGCCUGUGGGUCACUGAUGCUGAUAGGAACAUGGAGGAACCACUAGUGGGGACACUUGUUGAUAUUAUACGGGUAUCUUCCUUACCGCUGUCUCUGUCCGGGGUUGAUGAGAGGGUACUGGAGCUAGACGGUGGGGCUGAAAUCUUUUUUUUUCUUCUUUUUAGGGCCACACCCACAGCACAUGGAGGUUCCCAGCCUAGGGAUAUAAUUGGAGCCACAGCUGCCAGUCUACACCACAGCCACAGCAACACGGGAUCUGAGCUGCGUCUGCAACCACCACCACAGCUCAGGGCAACGCCAGAUCCGUAACCCACUGAGCGAGAGCAGGGAUGGAACCUGCAUCCUCACAGAUACUAUGUUGGGUUCUUAACCCGCUGAGCCACAACAGGAACUCCUGGGGCUUAAAUCUUGCCCUGACAUGUCUUUUCAUGUGAACUUGGCAAGUCGCAUUCCCCACCGUGUGCCUCAGUUUCCCCAUCUGUCAAGGGGGAACAUAAUAAGGUCUGCCUGACAGAGCUGGGGUGAGAGUCAUAGCAGUUAACAGCAUGUCACCAGCACUAAAGAUGUGUUAGCCCAGAGAGUUCCCUGGUGGCACCGUGGGUUAAGGAUCCAGCGUUGUCACCACUGUGGCUCUGGUUAUUGCUGUAGCACAGGUUCUAUCCCUGGCCUGGGAAUUUCUGCAUGCUGCUGGCACAGCCAAAAAAGAAAAAGAAGUUGUUAGCUUUGAUUGUCCCUAUCAGGUAAUAUUUGAGUGUUGUCAUGAUUUUUUUCCCCACAUUUCAUUUGUCUGGCCUCCCUGGGGAAGACACAGGACACUUAGGUUAAGGGUGUGUGUGGUUUUUUUUUCUCCUGGGGGGCACACCCAUAGCAUGCAAAAGUCCAGGACCAGAGAUCAAACCCGCACCACGGCAGCAACCCAUGCCUUAGCAGUGAGAACACUGGGUCCUUAACCAUUAGGCCACCGGGGAACUGCGUUGUGUGUGUUUUCAAAUAGAUACAUGGAGCUAUAAUUCACCCACUCUGCAAUUCCCCCAUUUAAAGAGUGUAAGUCAGUGGUUUUUGGUGCCUUCAUGGGGUUACGCACCCAUCACCACAGGCAGUUUUAGAACAUGGCCUCCCCAGGAGGACACUGCUUCAAGGAAGGCAGGGUAGUGGCAGUGAGCCCCUCAUGGAGUCUCUUAUGGCCGAAGGGGUGGGCUGUGGGGGCCGCCACCUCCCUAGGCGGCUCUAGGGUGGGAGUAGCUUGCCCGCCCUGCGAUAUUCUAUGAGGACACCAGGGACCGGCCAGCUGGCCUGGCCUCCAGCGCCCCCUUAUCCACUGCAACCACGUGAGGUGCAUCUUCAAAGAAAGGUGCCCACAGACCUCAGUGCGGCUUUCUCGAGAUCGAUGAUAACUCGCCACAAUUUAAUUUUGUCCUUUUUUUCUCAAGAGGGAGGGAGAGGGAGAGGGAGUGCCUGCCGUGGUUCAGCAGGCUACGAACCCGACUAGUAUCCAUGAGAAUGCGGGUUCCAUCCCUGGCCUCGAUCAGUGGGUUAAGAACCCGGUGUUGCUGUGGCUGCAGCGUAGGCUGGCAGCUGCAGCUUCAAUGUGACCCCUAGUCUGGGAAUUUCACUUCAAUAUGGUGCAGGUGCAGCCCUAAAAAGAAAAGAAAAAAAAAAAAAAAAAAAAAAGGGAGUUCCCAACGUGGCUCAACAGAAAUGAAUCUGACUAGCAUCCAUGAGGACACAGGUUUGAUCCCUGGCCUCACUCAGUGGGUUAAGAAUUUGGCAUUGCCGUGAGCUGUGGUGUAGAUUACAGACACAGCUUGGAUCUAGCAUUGCUGUGGCUGUGGUAUAGGCCGGCAGCGACAACUGUGAUUUGACCUUUAGCCUGGGAACCUCCAUAUGCCGCAGGUGCAGCCCUAAAAAAAAAGAGGAAGAAGAAGCACUUUGUCUGGUCCCUCACAAGAGGCCCUAUCUUCAAAAAAAUGGUGGCUGGAGGGGGGGGGCGGGGGGAGGAGAUGGGAGAGAGAACCCCUAGCCAGAUACACUGGGUAGCGAAGCUGCAACAAGGCCUAUCAGAGUGGCACUUCAGGACUGGCCCCUGAAAGAGGGGGCAGCCAAGGAGAGGGGGCAGCUUGGGUCUGGAGCAUCAGGCUCAGCAACCAGGGAGCUGGCGGCGACCUUUACCAAAGUGGGGGUGGGGGGAGUGAAGGGAGGCAGGUGGGAAAGAGGCAGAAGAAUCUGGAACUCCCGCUUGCACAAAACUGUCCCCAGGCUCCAGUAGGAUUUGACAAGCCUUUAGGAUACGCCUGAGCUGGGUUCCAGUCUUGGCUCCUGCCUUUGGGCACAUGGCCGUGAGCAAGUCACUCUGCAUCCAGGUCUCCUGGCCUGCACAGCGGGGCAGGAAAACCUGAAGGGUUCUAGUGAGGGGCUGAGGGGCCAGGUCACAGUGUCCAGCACGAGGCGGGGCACAGGGUCGGCGGUCCACGCACCGUGGCCUUGACAAUGAUGGUCACCAGUGUUCGUUCCCCUCCCAGACGGCAGAUCUUGGGAAAUUCCAGCCCAGGGAGUACCUGUAACGGGGGUGAGGGAGGCAGCUGGGCUGGAAAGGGCUGAAAUAGGGAACUGGGGCUGAGGGGGUUUCCAGAAUGAGCGAGAAGGGAGAUUCUGGCAGGUCAGGGGGAAUGGAGCCCAUCACUCCUGCCUGAAACCCCCCAGGCCUCCCCAGGGUUAAGCUCCCCAGGGCCGUCCAGGCCUGUUCCACCCCCAGGGCCCCUCUCCCACCACGACUUCCCCUUCCAGCCCCCUGGUCUCUCGUCCAACCUCAAGACUUUGCCUUGACUGUUCCCCCAGCUGCAAUGCUUUUCCACUACCUCUUUGCAUCCUCAGAGGUUGCAUGACCCUGACCCCCGCCCCCUGCAGCCCCCAGCCCACCCUCCCCCUUGGUUCCAUCGCAUCACUCCUUGGAGCAUUUAUCCCUCUCUGAAAUUCAACUUCAUGAUUUUUUUUUUGGGGGGGGUCUUUUUUAGGGCCACAUCCACGGCCCUAAAAAACCCAAGGAGCCACAACGGGAGCUCCCUGGGUAGUUGUUCCUGCUCAGCUUUUAGAUCAGGCCUCAAACACGGCUUCUUUCAGGAAACCUCAGACCCUGGUCAAGGUCACAUCCCGCUCCACAUACUGUCACUUAUUUGCCUUCAGGAACUGUUCAGGGUGGUCAUAUAUAUUUGUUUAGCCUCUGCCUCCCCUUAGAAGGAAACGUGCUGGGAGGCGGAACCUUCUCUUACCUGCCUCUCCUAGCACCGCACCUGGCAGAUGUAGUCUGCAUGCAGGGGAGCCAGGUUCCAGCCCUCAUGUCUUUGCUCUCAGGAAGCGUUUACUGAGAAUCCACUGUCGCAGGGCUGCAAAGUCGGCACAGACCUGACCCCGAGCCUCAGGGGGCUCAGCCUGCUGGGGACCAGAUGCUAUGGUGAGACCUGGGCUGGGCAGUGGCCACAGAGCAGGGAGGGCUCCCCAGGGCAGGGUCUUGAACAGUGUGGAGAAGUCUGAAACAAGAGAGAAGGGAACAGCCAUGGGAACAGCCUGUGCAAAGGAAGAAGGGAGAAGACAGGAGGUGUCAGGGAACCUCGGUGGCCAAAUGUGGCUGCAGUGCAAGGAAGGAGGAAGGGGGCAGAGGAUACAGGAGCAGGCGGAGAUGCUCAAGACCCAGAGCUGCCUUCCUGCCUCGCUCCCCUCCCGUCUCCCCACCAUGACAAGUCAGGACCUGCGGGAGACACCGUCCAACCCUUUCCCCCAGGGGAGCCAGCGCAGUGGGGCUGGGGCUUGGCAGGGGGCCCAGGGCAGUGUGGGUGGUUUUUCCUUGGUGCAUCAGGAACCAGGGAGCCCUGGCAAGCACCUCUGUAGGCGUCUCAUCUACAGGCAUGAUUUGGGGAGGGACCCACUUCCAAGUUCACUUAGUACAUGUUGGCAGCAUUCAGUUCCUUGCCUCGUGGGCCCCUCCAAUGGAACAGCUCAACACAGCAACUUGUGUCAUCAAAGUGAGUCUCAGACUCAUGUGUGCACCAGACUCGCCUGGAGGAGCUGCUGAAACACAGCUCCACCUCCAGAGUUCCUGAUCCAGCCCGCCUGGCCGGGGGCCCGAGGACAUGCAUUUCCAACAAGCUCCCAGGCGAUGCUGGAGACCACAUGUUGACAACUGGAGAAUUACAGGGAUCCCGUCCCUAAUUUUUUAUUUCUUCAUUACAUUGUAUCUGUUAGAGGGUCACUCUUUUUUUUUUUCUUUUUUUGGGCUGUACCCACAGCAUAUGGAGGUUCCAGGCUAGGGGCUGAAUCGGAGCUACAACUGCCGGUCUACACCACAGUCACAACAACUCAGGAUCUGUGACCUACACCACAGUUCACAGCAACGCCGGAUCCUUAACCCGAUGAGUGAGGCCAGGGAUGAGCCAUAACCUCAUGGCUCUUAGCUGGAUUCCUUUCUGCUGCGCCACGACAGGAACUCCUAAAGAGUCACUCUUAAGAAUUCCGAGGUGGAGUUCCUGCUGUGGCUCAGCAGGUUCAGAACCCAAGAGUGUCUGCGAGGACCUGGCUUGGAUCCCUGGCCUCGCCCAGUGGGUUAAGGAUCUGGCGUUGCCAUGAGCUGUGAUGUAGGUCAAAGCUCGGAUCUGGUGUUGCUGUGGCUGUGACGCAGGCUGGCGGCUGUAGCUCUGAUUGCACCCCUACCCUGGGAACCUCCAUAUGCUGCACCUGCGGCCCUAAAAAGAAAAAACACUUAGAAAUUUUUACUGUGGCACAGCAGGUUAAGGAUCUGGCAUUGCCGCAGCUGUUGCAUAAACAAACUGUAGAUGCAGCUCGGAUUUAAUCCCUGGCCCAGGAUUUUCCCUAUGUCAUGGGUACAGCUGAGAAAGGAAACGAAAAUUUCAGCAUGGAAAUAAAAAAACUACCCCCAAAUUUGUAUGGAACCACAAAAGAUCCUGUGUAUUCAAAGCAACCUUGAGAAAGAAUAACAUAGUGUGGAAAUCACACUUCCUGAUUUCAAGCUACAUCGCAAAGCUAUAGUAAAACAUGCUGGUAUAAAAACAGGCCCAGAGAUGAGUGAGAAAGAAUAGAGAGCCUAGGCAUAAACCCACACACACACAGUCACCUGAUUUUUGAUAGGGCGACGAGACUGCACAAUGGAGAAAGGACAUUCUCGCCAAUAAACAGAGCUGGGAACUGGACAACCACCUGCCCAACGGUGAAACUGGACCCCUGCCUUACACCACUUGCAAAAAUUAACUCGAAAUAGAUCAAACCUGAAACCUAGAAGAAAACACAGGGAUCACGCUCUUUGACAUUGAUCUUGGCAAUGAUUUCCUGGAUAAAACACCAAAAGCAACAGAAGCUAGAAUAAACAAGUGAAACUACAUCAAACAUCAAACGAAAGAGCUUCUGCUUAGCAAAGCGAACAACCCACAAAAUGAGAAGGGCCUUUACAAAAUGGGAGAAAAUACUUGCAAACCAGAUAUCUGGUAAGGUGGGUUAGUACCCUAAAAUAUAUAAAGAACUCACACAACUCAGUAGCAAAAAAGGAAAAAAGAAUAAAUAGGAGUUCCCUUGUGGCUCAGUGGUUAAGGGUCUGGAGUUGUUACUGCAGUGGCUCUGGCUACUGCAGUGGCAAGGGUUUGAUCCCUGAACCCGGAACUUACAUAUGCCCUGGAUGCCGCCAACAACAACAAAGAAAAGGGCAAAGGGGAGUUCCCGUCGUGGCGCAGUGGUUAACGAAUCCGACUAGGAACCAUGAGGUUGCGGGUUCGGUCCCUGCCCUUGCUCAGUGGGUUAAUGAUCCGGUGUUGCCGUGAGCUGUGGUGUAGGUUGCAGACGCGGCUCGGAUCCCGCGUUGCUGUGGCUCUGGCAUGGGCCAGUGGCUACAGCUCCGAUUCAACCCCUAGCCUGGGAACCUCCAUAUGCCGCGGGAGCGGCCCAAAGAAAUAGCAAAAAGACAAAAAAAAAAAAAAAAAAA